AGCGAGCACCGCCUGGGCCGGGAGAGGUUGGGUGACGCGCGCGAGACUCUGAGACCCCAAGUGAUGCCACGUUGGUGCCAGAUCGUCGGGAUGGCCGCUUUCAACGGCCGAGAGGCUCUGAGCGCCAGGACCGCAGCGAGCCUGGGAAGGGCCGCGGCGGGGCGGGCCAGAAGACCCCCAUUUUGGAGAGGGCUCUGCCCACACCCAGAAGGAAGGAAUGCAAGCUCAGAGAGGCCAAAAAGAAUCUAGACGGCCAGGACUUGCUGGGUUUCUCCACUUGGGCUAUGAGCAUUAGACCUACUGUCUGGGUAUCAUCACAUUUCUAUAUGGUUGUCCAUAUUUUGUUUUACCUGAACAUGAAAAUAGACAGUUUUCCCUGUAUUCUUGGGUCUUCAUUCUGAAGGUGUAUACAUAUUAAAUAAAUAUGUAUGCCUUUUUUUAUUAA